AGCGUUUCGCGUCGUAAGGCAAGUAUCUGCCAAUGUAGAGACGUGUCGGCGGAAUCUUGGAAGUGAUGAGAGUUUCUAGACUAGAAGAUGGAGUGAAUGCAGCAUAAACUGUGCGUGUGGACAAGGCACUUGACUGGCCCUGGGCUAACAUCAACGCCCACCUUCCUCCACUUUAUAUUGGACGCCACCACAGCAUGGCUUGACAAGCAGUGCGUCGGUGCACGCCCAGGAUCCGAACCGGCGAACCCUGGGCCGCCACAGUGGAGC